GGGGGAAAAAUUAAUAAGAUUAUAAUUAAUAAAAUAAUUUUUAAAGAAAAAAUAUUUAAUGGGGGUUAAAGUAUUUUUUUUAGAAAAAAUUAUAAAAUUUAUAAUUAAUUAGUAUUGUAAAAGAAAUUUGAAAAAUAUUUGAAAAUAAAUUUAUGAAAAAGUAAAUUUUAUUUAUUGUAUCUUGUGUAUCAGAGUUUAUUAAUAAAUAUUUUUAAAUAGAAAUUUCUCGAAUUUAAAAGAGUUAAUUAAUUAUAAAAGUUAAUAUUGCAUAAUUAUUUUAAAUAAUUAAUUAGAAAUGAAAUGUUAUUCGUUUUUAAAUAUAUCUAGUUUUUUUAGAAAAAAAUUUAAUUUUAGAUAUUAAAUUGAAAAAUAUUAUUUUAUUUAAUAUUUUUUUUUUUAAUAUAAAAUAUUUUAAGGGAUAAGCUUUAAAAUAAAUUUUUAUAAUAUUUUUAUUUAAAUAAAAUUUUUAAAAUUUAUAUUGUUUAAAAAUUAUAAUUUUUUGUAAAUAAUUUUAUUUAAAUUUAAAAUUUAAUAUAAAUAUUUAAUUUUUUAUAAAAAAAUAAUUUAUAAUAAUUAAAAAUUAGUUAUAAUGAUAAAAUUAGUAUAUAAAUAAAUUUUAUAAUAAUAAUAAUAGUUUAUUUAAAUUUAAUAAAAGGAAUUCGGCAAAUUUAUAUAUUCACUUGUUUAUCAAAAACAUGUCUUUUUGUUAAUAAUUUAAAGUCUAAUCUGCCCACUGAUAAAUUAUUAAAGGGCUGCAGUAUUUUGACUGUACAAAGGUAGCAUAAUCAUUAGUCUCUUAAUUGGUGACUUGUAUGAAGGAUUUCAUGAAAUAUUAACUGUCUCUUAUUAAUUUAUAAAAUUUAAUUUUUUAGUAAAAAAGCUAAAAUAAAUUUAAAAGACGAGAAGACCCUAUAGAGUUUAAUUAUUAAAAUAAUUUUUAUUUUUUAUAAAUUUUUUAAUUAAAAUUAUAUUAAUUAUUUUAUUGGGGUGAUAGAAAAAUUAAAAUAACUUUUUUUAAAAUUUAAACAUUAAUAAAUGAAUAUAUGAUCCGAUUUUAUCGAUUAAAAGAUUAAAUUACCUUAGGGAUAACAGCGUAAUUUUUUUUUUUAGUUCAAAUAAAAAAAAAAGUUUGCGACCUCGAUGUUGGAUUAAGAUAAAAUUUAAAUGCAAAAGUUUAAAAUUUUGAUCUGUUCGAUCAUUAAAAUCUUACAUGAUCUGAGUUCAAACCGGUGUAAGCCAGGUUGGUUUCUAUCUUUAAGAAAAAUUAAUAUUUUAGUACGAAAGGAUCAAAUAUUAAAAAUAAUUUUAAUAUAAGAAUUUUAAUAAUUAUAAUAUAAAAAUUAA
rnacentral:rRNA from 1 species